UAAAAAGAUAAGCUAAUUAAGCUAAUAGGUUCAUACCCUAUUUAUAAAGGUUUCAAUCCUUUUCUUCUUAA
rnacentral:tRNA from 1 species